AUCAAAGAUGUUAUUUAUCACAGACAGAGAAUAUUUCCUGUUGUACUGCUGAGAUAGGCCAGUUCCAGGGAUUGCCAUCUCAGGAGCUGAAGGGGCAGCUGCAUAUGUUGGCAUGAUUGAUGAGAUCUGCUACAGUCAAGCAAGCAGCCCUGGGUGACCAGUUUACCCUUCCCUGUGAGGGUUCCAGCUGCCAGUUGCCCCCAUUCUGUGACAGCUUCUCCUUCUCCUCACCUUGUCAUCCAGCCAAGAUUG
rnacentral:lncRNA from 1 species